rnacentral:rRNA from 1 species
AGAGUUUGAUCAUGGCUCAGAUUGAACGCUGGCGGAAUGCUUUACACAUGCAAGUCGAACGGCAGCACGGGGCAACCUGGUGGCGAGUGGCGAACGGGUGAGUAAUACAUCGGAACGUGCCCAAUCGUGGGGGAUAACGUAGCGAAAGUUACGCUAAUACCGCAUACGAUCUACGGAUGAAAGCGGGGGAUCGCAAGACCUCGCGCGAAUGGAGCGGCCGAUGUCAGAUUAGGUAGUUGGUGGGGUAAAGGCCCACCAAGCCAACGAUCUGUAGCUGGUCUGAGAGGACGACCAGCCACACUGGAACUGAGACACGGUCCAGACUCCUACGGGAGGCAGCAGUGGGGAAUUUUGGACAAUGGGCGCAAGCCUGAUCCAGCCAUUCCGCGUGCAGGAUGAAGGCCUUCGGGUUGUAAACUGCUUUUGUACGGAACGAAAAGGUCCUGGUUAAUACCUGGGGCUCAUGACGGUACCGUAAGAAUAAGCACCGGCUAACUACGUG